rnacentral:rRNA from 1 species
CCAGACUCCUACGGGAGGCAGCAGUGGGGAAUAUUGCACAAUGGGGGGAACCCUGAUGCAGCGACGCCGCGUGAGGGAAGAAGGUUUUCGGAUUGUAAACCUCUGUCCUCUGUGACGAUAAUGACGGUAGCAGAGGAGGAAGCCACGGCUAACUACGUGCCAGCAGCCGCGGUAAUACGUAGGUGGCAAGCGUUGUCCGGAUUUACUGGGUGUAAAGGGCGUGCAGCCGGGCUGACAAGUCAGAUGUGAAAUCCCGCGGCUCAACCGCGGAACUGCAUUUGAAACUGUCAGUCUUGAGUACCGGAGAGGUCAUCGGAAUUCCUUGUGUAGCGGUGAAAUGCGUAGAUAUAAGGAAGAACACCAGUGGCGAAGGCGGAUGACUGGACGGCAACUGACGGUGAGGCGCGAAAGCGUGGGGAGCAAACAGGAUUAGAUACCCCUGUA